GAUGAAGAACGUAGCGAAAUGCGAUAAGUAGUGUGAAUUGCAGAAUUCAGUGAAUCAUCGAAUCUUUGAACGCACAUUGCGCCUCCUGGCAUUCCGGGAGGCAUGCCUGUUCGAGCGUCAUCAAACCCCAUCGUGCAAAUGAAUUAUUUUUUUUGCGCGGAAGUGACGAUUGAGCGAGAAUAACAAAUCCUCUCGCACCUCGUCGAAAUGAUUGCGGGCGGAAUUUGGGAUCGGGUUCCUCGGCGUAGUGUAUCAAUGCAUAUUUAUGCAACUUGCCGCGGAGUUGAGCCUGACCCACGCGUUCUCGCCGUACAAACACCUCAUUACUUUACAAGUUUUUGACCUCGGAUCAGGUAGGAAUACCCGCUGAACUUAAGCAUAUCAAUAAGCGGAGGA
rnacentral:misc_RNA from 1 species